UCUUGCGUGGCUCAGUUGCUAGAGCAUGGCACUUGCAACGCCAGGGUUAUGGGUGUGAUUCCCACGGAGGAC
rnacentral:tRNA from 1 species